UGCCAUCACAGCUACCGACCCCUUAACCACCAUUGGAUCACCACAGCCUGGUCAUGCUGGAAGUAAUUAUUCCUAAAGCACUCUUGUGGUGCUAGAGCACUUGGGUCAGAAGAAAAGCCUCACUUCUGCCACAUAGUGAAUUAAAGUGUAUGCCCUCACUGUCCUUAUGAUGAGUACCUUCUUGAUGACAACAGCUUCCCUUAGACAUUAUCUCAUUUCAUCAGACAUAGUCUCACGAUGAAAGAAAAUGUGGAUCCUUUUCCCAUCCUCUCCAAGGAGAAACCUCGCAAAACCUCGCUAGGAGAACUCAGCUAUUAUUCUUUGCCAGAGAUUGUAUGUCCAAUGCAGAACCACCCUUGAUGUCCCGAAUUUCUGUCUGCUUGUCUAUUCCUCAUGAUUGCCUGUAUCCUUGAAUUUAUUACUGAAGUUUA